GGGGUUGUGGCUCAGUGGUAGAGUGCUCACCUAGUGUGUAUGAGGCACUGGGUUCGAUUCUCAACACCA
rnacentral:tRNA from 1 species